rnacentral:lncRNA from 9 species
CUGAUUUUAUUGCCUUCUGCCACUAAACACUGUGACCCGGGAAAGCAACGGUUACAUCAAGUGCAGCCAGGCCAGGGGGCUGAAGGAUCCUGGGCUGGGACCCUCAGUUGCCCGUUCAUAGAAAUGGGGCCAAGGCAGGCACCCAAUUUCUCUUUCUCCUUCCUGAAGACAGAUGCUCAAGGGCCAGACCAUGUUGUUCACAAAUGUUCUCCCCUAUUUUCCAGUUUAUUGUACUGGAUUGGCAAUGAGUUUUGGGGAAGCUGGACCUACUGUGGAGCUAGGAUGAAGUCAAGACAGAGACUUGAAGUUGUCCCCUCUUCCUCCUUCCUUUGCUUCUCCUUCCCUCAUGUUCUUCCCCCAACAUAUUUAAGGUGAUGCAGUUUGUACCUUCAUCACUCUUUCCCUGGAAAUAACAGUGAAUUUUAAUAAAUGCAAAUGUCAGAGAAGGCUGAACAGUUAUACUUGGACAGAAGCAGGGGGCGAGCCCUGGCAGAGCCAUCUCAUUGCUCCCCUGGCUCCUGGCAGCCCCGGAGUCCUGCUGUGAUUCCUCUGUCCCUUAAGUCCCCCGGGGGGCUCUCAGGAGAAACGCAACUACUGCUCUCCAUUCAGCCCACAGCCUGGGGAGAUGAGGGCAGCCCUCACCCAGGAGGUGACAUUUCAUUUAGAUGUGAGACGAUAAGUAGGUGUUUUCCAAGAUGAUGUACAAAACAAGUCACAUCAAUGUCAUUUCUAUCACACUCCUUGAAAUAGCUUCACCCGACUUUCCAGAACACCAGGUUGUGCUUUGUAAAGUUAAGCUUUGCCAUUAUGUUGUUGGAAUCUGGCAUGUUAACUACAGAUGAUUGGUGACGGGAAAGGAGAGCCAGUCUUAUCAGUGAAGACAUUUAGAGCUGGAGGAGGCUGGUACUUGUAAGCUCUUUCAUAGUCUGUCUGAGAAAGAAAUUCUGAUACAUCUGUACAGAACAUCACAGCUUACAGGUCAUUGCCAGCUAAUUUAAUCCUUUAAAAGUAAGUAUUAGGAUCCCUAUGCUAUACUGGAGGCAAAGCAGAGCUCAGUUCUUUGAGGCUUCUGCCUGGAAGCCAUGUAAAUCCUUCUAUUGGAACCUCUGGGUAGAUUCAUAAUUGCCAUCUAUGCUCCCUAAGCCAGGGUGCUCCUUACCUCAGGUGGCAAUUGAUAAAAAGGCAGUUCUGGAGUUUGUUAUGCUAUUGUGACCACAAACAAGGCAAAGCCAAACACCAGUGUGAGCCUCUCUAGCAAGUCUUCUGAAAUAUUAGUCUCUGGUAAAAGGAAAAUAGACAAAAUCCUUUGGGAUGGCCAAUUUUAUGUGUCAAUUUAACUAGACCACAGUCCCACUUAUUCCAUCAAACACUAAUCGAGGUGCUGCUGUGAAGGCAUUUUAGAGAUAUGAUUCAAGUUCAUAAUCAGUUGACUAGAAGUAAGACACUCCCCAAUCAUAUGGGUGGGCCUGGCUUAAUCAGUUGAAAGGCCUUCAGAGUAGUCAAGGCUUCCCUGAGAAAGAAGAAAAUCUGCCUGUGGGCAGUAGCUUCACCCUGGGUCUGAAACCUCAGCCAGUCAUUUCUGAAGGUCUGCUCGGCAGGUUUCAGACUUGUCUAGCCAGCCUCCCCAAUUACAUAGGUAAAUUCCUUACAGUGCAUCUCUUCUUACUUCUCUCCUACUGGUUCUGUGUUUCUGUUUUUUUCCAGGCAUCAUUUCCAACCUGGAUUCUUUUGGGGGGUGGGGCACACAUGUGGCAUAUGGAAGUUCCCAGGCUAGGGGUUGAAUCGGAGCUACAGCUGCCAGCCUACACCGUAGCCACAGCAAUGCCAGAUCCAAGCAACAUCUGUGACCUACACCACAGCUCACAGCAAUGCUGGAUCCUUAACCCACUAAGAGAGGCCAAGGAUCGAGCCCAUAUCCUCAUGGAUACUAAUCAGGUUCAUUACCACUGAGACACAAUGGGAACUCCCCAGAUCUAGAUUAUUGCCAUGGUCUUUGCUCUGGGCUCCCACCUCCAACCCUCCUCCUCCAACCCAUCCUUUACACUCUGCCAGAGGGUCCAUUCUAAAACACAAAUCUGAUGCCUCUUGUUUUUAGUCCUGAGACUCUCUUACCAUAAUCAUGGCCAGGGGUCACCGGGGCCAGUGUAGAAAGGACCAAAUCCCGUGACUUGCAGGUCACAGGAAAUUUGUUAAGCUGCAUGGUGAUGAUUAAAAGUGCAGAUAGCUCCUCUUCCUCCCUCUGAUUUCUAGAAAAAGGACACAAAUUGCCAAAAUGGAGAAUCAGUUGUCACCUUCAUUUGUGGCUUUCUAGUAGCAAUUUCAUUGGAAGAGAUGGCUUGGACCUGAGGUCAAAAUGGAAGGAAGGUCCAAUAUCUCAUUCUAUGAAUUGAAGGUAGCCAGGUCCCCAUCGGAGGACCAAUCUGACUUCUCCACCUGGUUCCAGAAUGGGAGAUGGCAUACCUUGAGGGAUAGACCUGGAGGGCUGAGCUGACAGCAUGGAGGAAGAGGUGAGGGGGCCCUGGCUCUUUUUACUUCCCUUUGGGGCAGGCUGGGUCUGUGUGAGAGAUCUUGGGACGAAAGCAGCCUUGCUCCUUAGCUUGGCCAGUGGGUAUCCAGCUCACCAAUGGAAAGGAUACCAUUCCCAGAGGGAGCUCAGUGAUGCAGGAGGAGAGAAAGCAAGCAUGUUUUCUCCAAUGCUUACCUCUCUUGAGAUCCAGGAAGAAGGCCUUUCCUAUUGGUGGGAGCAGGAGACAGAGAAGAUGAUUAGGGGUGGGGGGCACUCUCUGUGAGCACACUUUUGUCUCAGAGCGAUGCCUCAAACGUGGACCCUAGGACUCCGUGUUGACAAAGUUAUUUUCGACUAAACCCUUCCAACUUUGCAACUUUGUUCACAGCUUCCUCCCAUCCAGCCUCCUUCCUUUAUGUUGACAGGGGAAUUAUCUAGAGAGUUGGGAGAGGACAACUUGAAAACGCAGCUGUACAUACUUUCCAGAGACAUUUGUCCUCAGAAGUCUCGUUAUGAAGUCACAUUGCCCCCUCUGGUCUUCUGGCAACUUGUGAUGUACAGCCCUCAAUGGGGUCCUGGGAACAACCCCCAGUACAUCAGGGGGCUCCCAAGCUCUUGGCCUCAGUGUUCAUGUUCAUAGACGUCAUCUCCAAAGUCCAACAAAAUCAUGAUUUCAUUUGCCCUAAGAAUCCCGGCUCAGACAGUCUAACUGCACCCCAGUCACAACAGCAGGUUCUUAAAAUGUUUAGAACAAAAGCAAGUGCUGGGUAUUUCAGAGUUAUAAAAAGCAUUAGCCAGCGAAACAAAGACAAUGAAGGCUGAGGCCGGCUGACUGCAGGACUUUGCCUGGAAGGCUGAGUGCCCAAUAUAGCGCUCCCCAAACCCUCCCGAGGAUUUCCGUUUAAAGCAUCCCCAGCUCCGUGCUGCUGAAAGAUGCCUGCUGCCUGCAUGUCACUGGAGAAUAAGCUCAUCGUUCCCAAGCAAGCCUCACAAGAAGCUUCCUAGUGAGGUCACUGCACUCCUCGUCUCCCUCCACCAGUCAUCACCCUGGGCUCCGACUUUGCUGUACUCUCCUACGUCUCCAUGAAGCCCGGAAGCCUGAAACAUCCUUCUCUAGUCUCUGCCUCAUUGCCUACCUUCUCUUCAAGUCCCAUCUCCAGAUUCUCCUCCUUCUGUGGCAGGCAUGAGGGCUAUUCAUCAACUAUUUUAUUUUUCCACACGCCAGACAUGUGAUAGCUUUGCAUUUCUGGAUCUCUUGUGUUUGAGGCCAUUAGACUCAUUCUGACCCAUAGGCCAUAAGCAGGAAUGACACAAAUGACACUUAUCCAUUCUGGGCCUGACAUCUGCUUGCCAUGUGCGACCUUCCUGCAUCUUCCUCUCCCUGUGGCAUGGAAACCAGCAUCGCUCCAGAGAGCAGCUCCUCUGUUAACCCGGAUCCCAGAGUAAGAAUGGUAAUGACAGUGCUACUAACCUACAAUGGGGGAGGAAACCUUUGUUGUAAACCACUAAGGUACAAGGGUUGCUUAUCUAAUUGAAACAUGAGCAGAAGACCUAAGUAGACAUUUCUUCAAAGAAGACAUGCAGACAGUCAAUAGGCACAUGAAAAAAUACUCAUCUUGGCUAAUUGUUAGAGAAAUGCAAAUCAAAACUACAAUGAGGCACCACUCCACACAGGUCAGAAUGACCAUCCUUAAAAAGUCUACAAAUAGGGAGUUCCUGUUGUGGUGCAGCAGAAAUGAAUCUGACUAAUAACUAUGAGGUUGCGGGUUGGAUCCCUGGCCUUGCUCAGUGGGUUAAGAAUCCGGUGUUGCCAUGAGCUGUGGUGUAGGUCGCAGACAUGGCUGGGAUGCCACAUUGCUGUGGCUCUAGCGUAGGCUGGCAUCUGUAACUCUGAUUUGACCCCUAGCCUGGGAACUUCCAUAUGCCACGGGUGCAGCCCUAAAAAGCAAACAAACAAACAGAUAAAAGUCUACGAAUAACAAAUGCUGGAAAGUGUGUGGAGCAAAGGGAACCCUCCUACACUGCGAGAAUGUAAAUUGGUGCAGCCACUAUGGAAAGCAGUAUGGAGGUUCUUUGAAAAACUAAAAAUGGAGUUACCAUAUGAUCCAACUAUCCCACUCCUGGGCAUAUAUCCAGAGAAAACUAUAAUUUGAAAAGAUACAUGUACCUCUAUGUUCAUAGCAGCACUAGUUACAAUAGCCAAGACAUGGAAACAACCUAAAUGUCCAUUGAGAGUGAAUGGAUUAAGAUGUGGGAUAUACAUAUAUAUAAAUGGAAUAUUAUUUGGCCAUAAAAAGAAUGAGGUAGUGCCAUUUGCAGCAAGCUGGAUGGACCUAGAGAUUAUCAUACUAAGCAAAGUAAGUAAGAGAGAGAAAGACAAAUACCAUAUAUCACUUAUAUAUAGAAUCUAAAAUAUAACACAGAUGAAUAUAUCUACAAAACAGAAACAGGGGAGUUCUCUGAUGGCCUAGCAGGUUGAGGCUCCUGCGUUCUCACCACUGUGGCUCUGGUUGCUGCUGUGUGGCAUAGGUUCAAUCCCUGGCCCAGGAAUACCUCGUGUGUGACAAAAAAGAAAAAAAAAAUACCAAAAAAAAAAAAACCACAACAAGAGAGAACCUGAAAUAAACUGUGCAACUCU